UACAGAGGUGGCAAGCGUUGUUCGGAAUUACUGGGCGUAAAGGGCGCGUAGGCGGCUUGGUAAGUCCCGUGUGAAAUCCCUCGGCUCAACUGAGGAACCGCACGGGAAACUGCCUGGCUUGAGUUCGGGAGAGGGAAGCGGAAUUCCGGGUGUAGCGGUGAAAUGCGUAGAUAUCGAGAGGAACAUCGGUGGCGAAGGCGGCCUUCUGGACAGUGACUGACGCUGAGACGCGAAAGCGUGGGGAGCAAACAGG
rnacentral:rRNA from 1 species